GCAAACUUGGUCAUUUAGAGGAAGUAAAAGUCGUAACAAGGUUUCCGUAGGUGAACCUGCGGAAGGAUCAUUACCGAAUCGUCAAACACGGGUUGUUGCUGGCCUCCCGAAACGGGGGCAUGUGCACGCUCUGUUUACACAUCCACUCACACCUGUGCACCCUCUGUAGUUCUGUGGUUCGGGAGACCCCGUCUUCCUUCCGUAGCUCUACGUUUUUACACACACGCCGUAGCAAUGUCUCAUGGGAUGUUUUUCUGCGUUUAACGCGAUACAAUACAACUUUCAGCAACGGAUCUCUUGGCUCUCGCAUCGAUGAAGAACGCAGC
rnacentral:misc_RNA from 1 species